rnacentral:rRNA from 1 species
CCCGCUGAACUUAAGCAUAUUACUAAGCGGAGGAAAAGAAAUUAACAAAGAUUGCCUUAGUAAGGGCGACUGAACCGGCAAAAGCUCAAAAUUGGAAUCGAAAAUUCAAUGAAUCUUCGAAUUGUAAUCAGGCCAGCCUAAAUACGAGAGUUAGUUUAAAGGCGUCGAAACGUCUGCCAAGGAGGGUGAAAGCCCCGUGUAGCUUUCUCUCGAGUAAGGUGAGCCCCACAAGAGUCGGGUUGCUUGGAACUGCAGCCCUAAGCGGGAGAUAUGAAUCUUCCAAAGCUAAAUAAGGAUGGGAGACCGAUAGCGAACAAGUACUGUGAAGGAAAGAUGAAAAGGACUUUGAAAAGAGAGUGAAAAGAUCUGAAAUCGUUGAGAAGGAAGCGGUAGAAACUGAUGGUCGUACUGAUAGAUAUCGCGGUGAACAACUGCGUAGUUCUUACCGGAACGAUGGGCAAAAUGAAGUCGAAAGCGUCAAAAAAGGCUUUAGCCGCAUAAGGCGUAAUCGGCUUGAGGGACUAUUGUGAUUUUGCCAAAAUGGUUUCUACCGUCCCGUCUUGAAACACGG